rnacentral:rRNA from 1 species
GACUGUUUACUAAAAACACAGGUCCGUGCGAAGCCGUAAGGCGAUGUAUACGGACUGACGCCUGCCCGGUGCUGGAACGUUAAGGGGACCGGUUAGCUCCAUUUCGGUGGGGCGAAGCUGAGAACUUAAGCGCCAGUAAACGGCGGUGGUAACUAUAACCAUCCUAAGGUAGCGAAAUUCCUUGUCGGGUAAGUUCCGACCUGCACGA